UGAGGAAUAUUGGACAAUGGAGGCAACUCUGAUCCAGCCAUGCCGCGUGAAGGACUAAGGCCCUAUGGGUCGUAAACUUCUUUUGACGCAGAGCAAUAAGGAUUACGUGUAGUCUGAUGAGAGUAUGCGUCGAAUAAGCAUCGGCUAACUCCGUGCCAGCAGCCGCGGUAAUACGGAGGAUGCAAGCGUUAUCCGGAUUUAUUGGGUUUAAAGGGUGCGUAGGCGGAUGGGUAAGUCAGCGGUGAAAUGUCCCGGCUCAACCGGGGAACUGCCAUUGAUACUGCCUGUCUUGAAUGCGGAUGCCGUGGGAGGAAUGUGUAGUGUAGCGGUGAAAUGCGUAGAUAUUAGGAGGAACACCAGUGGCGAAGGCGGCCAACUGGGCUUUACUGA
rnacentral:rRNA from 1 species